UACAGAGGGGGCGAGCGUUGUUCGGAAUUACUGGGCGUAAAGGGCGCGUAGGCGGCCUUCUAAGUCGAACGUGAAAUCCCCGGGCUCAACCCGGGAACUGCGUCCGAUACUGGGAGGCUUGAAUCCGGGAGAGGGAUGUGGAAUUCCAGGUGUAGCGGUGAAAUGCGUAGAUAUCUGGAGGAACACCGGUGGCGAAGGCGGCAUCCUGGACCGGUAUUGACGCUGAGGCGCGAAAAGCCAGGGGGAGCAAACAGG
rnacentral:rRNA from 1 species